CUCUUUCCCGAUCCUUCCACACCCAAAAAAAAUCUAACCCCGACGCGUCUCCUCUCCCGUUCGCGGUUCGCCUCUCCCUGCACCACCGCCGCCCUCCUCCCCUAGCCCCGGCGGUGGCCGUCGCAGGCUAUGGAGUGGCGUGUUUGGGACCCGACGGUGGCCGCAGGCACGCCUUCCCCCGUCAUUGCCUCCUCCCAUUGGUCUGCGUGUUCUUGAUGAAACCCUAGCUUCCUGUUCUCGAUGGCCCCGGCGGCGUCGCGAGCCACACCUGGCGGCACAAGCGCGUGGCGCGGCUGACCCCGGCUAUGCGUGGCCUCUUUCUCGCUGACGGCGGCGGCGGCUCAGCUCGGAUGGAUUGUCCGCAUCAGCUGCCUCCCCUACCUCCACUUUGUUGCGUUGCCAACAUGGCUGCUCUGCUUGUUGCGGAGCAGGAUGUGGCUCAGGUGCAUGGCGCCCCUCCUUCGACAGCUGGGGUAGCCAUGCUAAUGUUGGAUCUGUCGCGGCUCAUCAGUCACAUGACGCAUCUUCCAUGAGAGGUGAGUAGGGCCGUCACUCUAUCACUCCAUAUUUUUUUUCUCUUCACGUGUAUAUAGUAAUUAUAUCUGGUGUGGUUAUUUUAAUUCUUUCGAAUUUAGCAUUGAAUUACAGAACAAAUGACGGAGGCCAUGAACUAUAUGAUCUAUGGUGGUGAUUACUAUUACUUCUUGAAAUUCAUUUUGGAUUCGUAAUUUUUUUUAAUAAAUAGUCCAAUGGUCUAAUUGAUUUUUUUCCCCUCCAGAGAAUGCCAUGUACUCCCUUUUAUUUGUCUACGACUUGAUCCGGAAUGCUCAGGACAAUCGACCAAUAAAUGACUCAUUCAUGGUGGGAAUAGAGUUCAAAUUAGUUGCCAUUGAUCAAUGUUAUGCAAAGGAUCGAUGAGUUUGUGGGCAUUGCACAGUUGCUGGUCCUGUGUGUGCUGAGACAGGUGUGGUGUUCCUAAAAUGUCAUACAUAUGUCCUGCCAACACUUACUCCAGCUACACAUAAUUCUCAGACCUAUGGUUCACCCAGAUAUGUUGCAGGCAGUCUAAGUAGCAAAAUGUACUCACAUGUUGAGACUCUUGAGGUUAUGCCGUUUUCCUUACUAAUUUGGUUGAGUUCUCACCUGUCUCGUGAUUUCAGCAGAGUUUCCCUUCCGUUGCAGUUUAGGAGAUUUUAAGCAGAUCCAAAAUGUGAUGAGCCUACGGAAUGAUAUGGUGUAUGGUUUAAAUCCAUCUGAUUGAACGGAUGAAGUUAGCACAGAUCUUGUCAGCCAGUGUCGCUGAAAUCAACAAACUUCUGCAGUUUGUGAGUUUACAAAUCUAACGUUGGUUCCGAGCACAUGCCCUAUUUCCAAAGAUUACAUUGUCAAACACUUUGGUUGUCCGCAAGUGCUUUUGGUUCUCCUGUUUGUUUGAGUUUUCAAUACAACUACAUACAGAGGUUGUUCUUUGAACUCAAGUGGAAUACAUGUAAGGCUAAAGAAUAAAUACAACAAAGGUCAUUGUAUUCUUGCUUUAGAAAUCCAUUUAAUAUUUUUUUUCUUCUUCUGCACAGAAUAGUUCCUGUUUUUAUCCACUUUACUUCAAGCUCUGUCAGAUCCUCUCGGUACUUUAGGUCAAAAUGUUCAGCCACCAUAUGUAUGCAACAUGUACAGAAUAAAAUGUCAGCAACCAUCAUGUAUGAACAUAUGUACCUGUGAACUUUAUCUAUGUACUCUUAAACUUUUAGAUGGUGCAGCCACGCUUCACCAUGCUGCAUAUUUCUCUAGCGUUUUCUUGUGAACUC